rnacentral:rRNA from 1 species
UACGUAGGUGACAAGCGUUGUCCGGAUUUACUGGGCGUAAAGAGCGCGCAGGCGGUCGUUCAAGUCGAGUGUGAAAGCCCCCGGCUCAACUGGGGAGGGUCAUUCGAUACUGAUCGACUCGAAGGCAGGAGAGGGAAGUGGAAUUCCCGGUGUAGUGGUGAAAUGCGUAGAUAUCGGGAGGAACACCUGUGGCGAAGGCGGCUUUCUGGGCCUUACCUGACGCUGAGACGCGAAAGCGUGGGGAGCGAACCGG